CAUGGGUAGCUGCUGUAACCUAUCAUAUCUUCUAGAUAGAUUCCAUCAUGAUGUAUUUUCCUCUCUUUCUGUCUCUCUGUUUGUUUUCAUCCAAAAUAUCUUAAAUUGUGUUCCGAAGACGAACGGUGCUUUUACGGGUUUGGAACAACAUGGGGGUAAGUGAUUAAUGACAAAAUUUUCAUUUUGGGGUGGAGUAUCCCUUUAACUUAUUUUAUUUUUUUAUUCAGUGGUGAAAACUGGCUUCCAUACUUAUGUGUGUAAUAACAUGUUUAUGGCUGAUUCAUUUUGGCAGAUAUUCAUUUUCUUUAAUUUUUUUCCCAUUUUAAUGUAACCUCAUUAAAUUCCAACUGAAAUAUCAAUUCUGCAUCCAGUUUGAUACAUCUAAGGGUUGAAUUGGAAUUUCAAAGACAUUCUCAAUUAAAUUCUGAAUGGUGCACAACCCCUGCCACCUCUGCAGGCUCCCUCUGAGGCUGGCAGUUUGGCCCACACUGUGCUCUUCCUGAUCCUACUGAGGAUACAAAACCAUUAAAAGCACAGUCCUCUGGGAGUGCAAAGUCUUAAUUUGAGCAUUCGCUUCCAUCCCUACAGCUGUCAUGUACUUUCACAAGCUCACACUUAAUAGAGUAGCCACUGGUGCAAUAGUCUACAGGAACAGAAAAAGAAAGAGGGACAUAUGCAGGAAUGUGAAAGGAGUAAAUGAACUGCAAUAAAGAGGAUCAUUAGGAGCUGGGCCAUAUUUAUGCUGAUUGGGCUGAACUGAAAGCCUGCCAACAGCCAUUUGCACCUCCAGCCUUAAUGAAACCUGAAUGUUUACAGCUUUUUGUAAAGAAAAUGUGAGUGCUGCCCUGUGAAAAAGUCACUUAUGUUCUUAUGUUCUGUCUUUACUAGGGAUGUGUGAGACUGGUCGAUUAAACGGAACUGCUGCUGCUAGUCAGCACUCGAAAUUCUAGCCGACCAGUCGAAAUUUAGUUAUUUUAAUGUUUACUUUGGAAAGUGGAUAUCUGGAGUGGAAAACAAAUUAAUUUAAUUUCAACUCAGACCUUGCAUGCAUGCAUUUUCAUCGUUACUCAUUGCAGGCUCAGAGAAAUGUCCACAAGGGAAGACGAGCAAGGUGUGGGAGCAUCUUUACUGGUUUAAAGAGGGAAACAUUAUGAAUUAAAGUUAACUGACUUUCAUC
ensembl:lncRNA